rnacentral:tRNA from 1 species
GCCCGGGUGCUGAAAUUGGUAUACAGGCUACCUUGAGGUGGUAGUGUCCAUUGGACAUGGAGGUUCAAGUCCUCUCCCGGGCACCA